rnacentral:tRNA from 1 species
CCGAGAUAGCUCAGUUGGUAGAGCAGGGGACUGAAAAUCCUCGUGUCACCAGUUCAAU